rnacentral:rRNA from 1 species
GAUGAACGCUGGCGGCGUGCCUAAUACAUGCAAGUCGAGCGAACAGACGAGGAGCUUGCUCCUCUGACGUUAGCGGCGGACGGGUGAGUAACACGUGGAUAACCUACCUAUAAGACUGGGAUAACUUCGGGAAACCGGAGCUAAUACCGGAUAACAUGUUGAACCGCAUGGUUCAACAGUGAAAGACGGUCUUGCUGUCGCUUAUAGAUGGAUCCGCGCCGCAUUAGCUAGUUGGUAAGGUAACGGCUUACCAAGGCAACGAUGCGUAGCCGACCUGAGAGGGUGAUCGGCCACACUGGAACUGAGACACGGUCCAGACUCCUACGGGAGGCAGCAGUAGGGAAUCUUCCGCAAUGGGCGAAAGCCUGACGGAGCAACGUCGCGUGAGUGAAGAAGGUCUUCGGAUCGUAAAACUCUGUUAUUAGGGAAGAACAAAUGUGUAAGUAACUAUGCACGUCUUGACGGUACCUAAUCAGAAAGCCACGGCUAACUACGUG